rnacentral:rRNA from 1 species
UACGGAGGGUGCAAGCGUUAAUCGGAAUUACUGGGCGUAAAGCGCACGCAGGCGGAUCGUUAAGUCAGGGGUGAAAUCCCGGGGCUCAACCCCGGAACUGCCUUUGAUACUGGCGAUCUCGAGUCCGGAAGAGGUGAGUGGAAUUCCGAGUGUAGAGGUGAAAUUCGCAGAUAUUCGGAGGAACACCAGUGGCGAAGGCGGCUCACUGGUCCGGUACUGACGCUGUGGCGCGAAAGCGUGGGGAGCAAACAGG